UACAGAGGGGGCGAGCGUUGUUCGGAAUUACUGGGCGUAAAGCGCACGUAGGCGGACUAUUAAGACAGGUGUGAAAUCCCCGGGCUUAACCUGGGAACUGCGCUUGUUACUGGCAGGCUUGAGUGUGGCAGAGGGGGGUGGAAUUCCACGUGUAGCAGUGAAAUGCGUAGAGAUGUGGAGGAACACCGAUGGCGAAGGCAGCCCCCUGGGCUAACACUGACGCUCAUGCACGAAAGCGUGGGGAGCAAACAGG
rnacentral:rRNA from 1 species